CUCUUAAAUUGAAAACAAGCACUCAAACUCCUGGAAAGCAGCAAACAAAUGGAAACACACACACACUAGUUUUGGAGAGAUUCAAGGAUAUGACAGCUGACAAAUCAGAGGAAAUUUCUCAUUGGAACUUGACCAUGCUGAAAACCUAAUCUCCGAUCUCCAGCUUCUAGAAGGGCUUGAGCCUUGAGAACCUCGAGGGAGAGCUGGCUCAGAGUUCGAGAGAGGCAAGAGGACGAGAGCCAGGCUGACUGAAUCUAGGGAUGCUCAGAAAGAGACAAACAGAAGAGCCACGGCAAACCUUGAAGGGAAAGCUCUACCAUGGACUGCAAUGCUUCUGUUGUAAUGUGGGUCUCACAGGCCUGUGGCUGAACAAUGCUGUUACCAACUACAUCCCCUAGGAACCUGCCUCAUUGUUGGCUCCAUGCCUUCAGAAGAGAGGGCUGCCCACCCUGCUGACCAUGAGGAGACCAGCUACUAAAUACUCAUACUCUGCAGUGACACUUGAAUUGUGAAAUCAGCGUCCACAUUUCCAAACAACUCUGCACAAAUUUACCUCUUUUACUCGAAGAGAAGACAUCUACAAGUACUCUUUUUUUCACUCUGUUCAUUUAAAGAUUCAAAUAAGAGAAAGAAACAAAUUUGGGCAUUAUGUGACUAUUAAGGAUUCAAAUAAAAGAAAUAAAAACAUUUGGACAUUG